AUAUAUAUAUAUAUAUAUAUAUGGGUAUAUAUUUAAAUUCCCAGUGAAGCUCUGGUCAGCUGCAGGCACUGAUACUCUAAAAUCCUGCGAGAUGUUAUCAGGCAGGGAUCCGUCACACACUUGAUAAGAUUAAUGCAGGGUAGUGAAAUAUUAGGGCUUGAUGGCUGAGACAUCUGGACUGCAUUUGGAUCAUGUUGUUGCUGGGAAUGGCAAGCGAUGAUGGGACAGCAGCGGGCUAAUGCAAUAUGGCAAAUACCAUUUCUCAACUUUGCUAAUAUGUGGUAGAUAAGAAGUGCCAGCCACGUUCAGUAUCUUUCCAAACUGCCUUUCCCAUCAUCCGUCUUCCAAGUGUCACAGAGGACUGCAGGCCGUCGUAAUUGAAGCAGUCUGAUUUGGGGGCUUUAAUAAGGAAGAAAUAAGGCACUGAGGCACCUUUUUAAGGGGAAAUGAGGGCAGGUUCAUGCAGGUCAGAGUCUGGUGGUAGAUGCCCCUUGAUAACCUGUUGUAAUUGUUGCUGAGCCAUUGGUUGAAGACGUUUUAGGGGGAAAAAGUCUGAUUGCUGUGUAUUUAGACAUUGUAUCUGAUGGGCUCCAGAGUGGCCCCGUGGUGACGUCCAAUAACAAAUACAUGAGCACGAUCCGCAGAGGAUCCUCAUUGUGCUGGGAUUAAUUACAGCCUACCUUGCUUACAUAAAUUCAGAGACUGUUCCCAAUUAUGGGGCACAUUUUUGCUUUUCUCUGUGGUAUCUGGCGUCAAACCUGACUCUGAAAGUAUGUUGAUGUUGUUGAGGUGGAACCAGCACAGUCUGUAGUCAAAGCUAGUUUUUUUUCUAUUUGCGUUGUCCAUUGAUGAGGAGGUUGUUUAUACUUCAGCUUGAAUCCCAGACCCCUCGACUCAGAUUAAUAAGCUCCUCAUGAAGUAGUCUGCAAGUGAUUUGCUCCAACUCCGAGUCCGAAAUCACACGUCCUGCGGGAAUAGAAAUAAUUUGCUGUUUGGGAGGGGAAACUGGAAUGUGAUUUCAAAACUGCCUCUUCAAAGACCAGUCAGCUCAGCCUUAAAUUAGAUAUACAGUAUGAUGUAUAGACUGGCGUUAAACACGAGUUAGGCCCUCAGCAGAAUGAUUUGAUUAUAUCUGCCAGGUUACAAAGUCUGAGGUCAUGCUUUUUCCAUUCUCUGAUGUUUUUGUCAUAUUUUUUUCAGGGCACAUGAGGAGAUGAAAUAAUGCAGCGCACAGCAGCUUUCUGCAGAUAAGGUUACAGCCUAUCUUCCCAUCCCAAUUAGAACCAGCUCUCCCUUACUGCACCAAAACUGAAUCAAGUAAAAUCGACGUGGCUCCAGGGAUGGCAGCGCUGCUCCGUUAGCCCCAACUUUUUGAUGGCUUGCCAUAAAAUUAUGCACAGAAAUUCAGGAUCCCCAGAGGAUGAAUCCUAAUAAGUUUCUCUGGCAGCACCACAUUUGUGAUGAAACGUCUCAAGGUUCAUUCAUUCACAUUAAAUUAGCUGAUUUCCUUUUCCUGCAGCGUCAUCGUGAGGAUGAAUUUGUCACCAGAUGGGUGUUUUCAAUGAAUCUCAAGUGGAAGACAGAGCAGCUCAUCGGCGUUUAUCUGAAGCGUGAACAAAUGUUUCGUAUGCAAAUGGAAUGAGCGGUUUCCCAGAGACUAUGGGUUGAGGAGGAAGUGGAAGUUUGUCGGCUUAGACCUAGUGUCAUUCAGUGUUUAACUUCCCGGCUCAUCUUGGAAGAGUACGUGCCAGAAAGACCACAACCAAUCAGCCUUGAGAUCUUAGGCAGUGUCUCUCUGAGGUCCCUCUCUAUCUCCCCACACAUCCACCAACCACUGGAACACAUCUCCAAAGUUCUGCCGGGCCAGCUCAGCUUCUCCUCAGAAGAAGUGCCGCCACCUGCCAGAUGAAGGAGCCUUUUGAGAGGCAGCUGGCAUCGUGAUUUGACUGUACUUUGGUCUGUUCCAAUCCAGCUUCAGCUCCAGAGACGGCAGGCGGGACGAGUCAACGGAGGCCGGGUGGACGAAGGUAUGCAGCUGAGUACAAUCCAGAAAACAACAGAGGAGGAGUGCAGCGGCCCAGGACCAGAACAAACAGAGUAGCAUCAUAUGUCUCUUAGAAAACAUCAUAGUAUAGCCUUUGGUAUGAAAAAACGCCAUCAUAUACAUCGUAUAUUGUACAAAUAACAAGUCUAAGGAAAGAGACAUACAUUGUAGAAUUGUACUAAUUGUCGGCUGACUGAUUUACUGAUUAUCAGUAUUUUUUACUGAUUUACGGUAAUAAAUACAUUUAAAAAUGGCGCUACUUUGGCUCUGAACCUUUAUCUACCUGUGGUCGCUCUGUCUUCUGGAGUGAUUUGAUUGGUUAUACGUCACGAAUAAAACUCCUUUAACAUCUGUAAACAAAACAAAAACGUAUCAACAAAGUUUUCUGUUAGAGUUUGUGUUCUUCUAAAUUUAACUUCAAGAUUUUAAAUACUUUCAUUUACUGCAAAAGAAUAUCUACUCCAAAUGCCUCACUAAUAAUCAUUAUCAGCCUUAAAAACCCACAAAACACCCCUCUAUACUUGACCACACUUAGUACAGUCCGGUUCCCCCUUCUAUAAAUCUGCUUGGAAUCUUCCACUUCCUGUUUGUCAAAGUGGCCUUCUACCUGGACAGGUUUUAUUGGAGCUCAUGCAACAAACAUUUUGGGUAACUGCACUUUAAUAUGGAUGGAUGACACUGAUUUAGAGUCUGUAUUAAUGAGACUGAGUUAAGAUGUGUAGCUGUCGUUAAAUAGUAAAUUAUUUCUCAGAAUUCACAGAGAAAAGUCUGAAAUGUUUGCUAGGUUAGCAUCCCACAUGUUCUUUGGCUCAGCUAAAGCUAACACUCUCCAACUUCUGGAUCUCUUGAGUUACUUGUUAAAAUAUCUUGCUGUAGGUGCUGAAGCUCAGAAAGUCUGAGAUGUUUGUUCAAAAUAAGCUCAUUCUCAAGUCUUAUCUGAACUGUCCUCUUUUGUUUGAACUUUCCCUAAACUUAGGAGUUAAUAACAGAGCAGCACAUCCAGACUCAGUCUCAUUUAUGUAGAGAUUAAACUUCAGUGUCAUUCAUUGAUGUUAAAGUGCAGUUUUUCAAAUUUUUGUUGCACCAAACCAGUCCAGGUGGAAGACGAUGUGAAGAGAAAGCUCCAGAGGAUGAAUAUCACACAUUUACGUUGGAAAUAAAUGUCCUUUAAUUUGAUAUUGUCAUGCAAAAGUUGAAUUUCCCUUUAAUGAUGUUCCAAUCUUUGUUGAGUGUUUUGUUGAUGUUGGUUUCUAAAUGUUUUUUGACACUCGGCCCCAAUGAUUAAAACCUUCUACGGCUCACAAGCUGCAACAAUUCACACAUUAUCAACUAUCUUUCUGACUAAACUAAGAUAAAAAGUGAAAAACUGUCUGAUUCUUGCAUCAUGAAUGUAAAUCUUUUUGGUUUUUAUGACAGUAAACUGAAUAUAUUUGGGCUUGACAUUUUAUAAACCAAAGCAAGAUAUGAAUUACUGGAGAAAACGACAGAUUAAUGGACAAAGAAAAUGUGUUUUCUAACAUAUAUGGCUGAAUUACUCCAACAUUACAAGAUACAUACAAUUUUAAUUCAAUUUUAUUUAUAUAACGCCAAUUACAGGUCAAAUUGUC